GCCUAAGUGAAUUACUUAGGCUAAGUGGAUCACUUAGCCUAAGUGAAUCACUUAGCCUAAGUGAUGCUUUUCGUGGCAGCUUCUCUCAGCUCAUAAUCUGUCAGAUUUCAUUUUUU